rnacentral:rRNA from 2 species
UACGUAGGGGGCGAGCGUUGUCCGGAUUCAUUGGGCGUAAAGAGCUCGUAGGCGGUUCGAUAAGUCGGCGGUGAAAGUCCGGGACCUAACUCCGGAAGGUCCGUCGAUACUGUCGAACUUGAGUCUGGUAGGGGAGUGCGGAAUUCCUGGUGUAGCGGUGAAAUGCGCAGAUAUCAGGAGGAACACCGGUGGCGAAGGCGGCACUCUGGGCCAGUACUGACGCUGAGGAGCGAAAGCUAGGGGAGCAAACAGG